ensembl:lncRNA
CUGGUGAAAUGGGCAGAAGGGAUAGAGCAGAUGAGGGGGAUCAGAAAGAGAAGGGGUGCUCACAGAAAAAAUAAGGGGACAAAAAAAAAGGGAGCUGGUCUUUGAUUCAGUUGGGGUCCAUAUUCACAAAGAGAUCACUCAGAGAUUUCAUACAAAUGGCAGGAGCAGAAUGCGAGCACACCGAGGGGCCUAAUGCAGGCACUUGUCCUGUAAUCAAAGAUUCAGCUCGACGUGAGUCCUUUGUGAGACAACAGCAUCAUUCUCCACCCGGGUUCACCCCUGAAUGCAGAGCAGCUCUCUAAAGCAAGGCAGGACGAGCCUCGCCUUUCUUUGUCUUGUGAAGCUGAGGAUGUUUGCGUGAGGGAGGCACUGACGGGGAGAGGAGAGCAGAGCAGCAGAUGGGCGGAAUGGAAUGGCGGGGCGAGAGCGGCUCAGCCUGCCGUGGUGGGACGUGCGGCAGCAUGGCUGACAGCUCCAGGCAGCGAGCACCAUGGCGUCCUCCUCUGCGUUUCCAGAUGUCUCCAGAUCAGCACUGGAUGCCUUUCCAAUAGUCAAAUACAAGCAAUUCAUUUCACAGAAUAUCUGUGGUUUGAAAUUCAGAGGAAGAUAAAAAUGGCUUACCCUGGCCUUCAGAGCUCUAAGUAUCACAGAUAGGAAAUCCUGGAAUCCUGGAUGUAAGUGUAAUUGAGGUGUACGCAGGAAAAGACACUUUGCGUUGUGAAAAGUAACUAUUCUUUUCAAACCUUUUCUCUUUUUAUUCUGUUGGCUGCACCCAAGAAGUCAUACGCAUAUCAGAGAAUGUUACUGUUCAGAUCAGAUCUAUUGACAUAAUUAACUUAUUUGCAAACAGUUUCAUGUAUUUUUGUCUGAGUCUGCCUUCCUGCAUACACCAAAACUACCCUGAUUCAGCUCCUAGUGAAUUAGGGUGGUGUACAGCAAAUAAAGGAACAAUCAUUGAGUCCAAACAUAUUUGCAUUCUUAAUAUGGUGCGCACAUUCAGGCAAGAGGCAAUUUGCAUGAAGACCAUGAGCCAAAUGCAGUUCUGACAGUAGCAGGCAUAACUUUAUUCAAAUCAGACAAGCAGCAGGCAUUUACAAGGGGCCAGAAUAGGUGCUGUGUGCUUGCUGCACGUCCAUGCUCAGCAUAAUGCACUGCUCUUGAUCAAAACCUCACAUUUUCCAUAGAUGGACCAAUGCUUAUCAGAACUGAAUACAAAUUUCAGCUGUAGGAUGGGGUGUACACUUGCAGUACCUGACAAAAUGUAUAGUUUGCUUUUAAGCCUCGCUUUCAGUGUGAAGAGUAAUUCAUACUUUUAAAAAACACCCUCUUUUCAAGCUUUCAUUGCAUGGAUUAGCUAAGAAGCAGCAUGCCAGGAUGCCUCUGGCCACCUUCAAAACCUCCUUGUAAACUCAGGCACAAGCAGAAUCAGCUUCACUUCGUCCCAAGUAUUAGUGCUUUGUUUUAAAGUUGCAGUUUUCUGAGUGUUGCUCCUAAUACUUUAAUGGUGGUUGUAUACCCCAGUGCUGGUGCUGUGUCUUGCUGCGUUUCAGCAAAUGUUGUGAGGAAUCUACAGCAAUUAGCUGUUCAUGCCUCUGCUUUCCUGUUUUGUGCCUUCUCUUUCAUGUAUCAGAUGUUUGUAAGUUUUCCAUUAGACAUUUCCUGCUUCUAAUAGAUGUUUGUGAGGCUCUUGCUUUGAGCUAUCAAGGCUCCAAUUUGUGCUGAGAUGUUUGGUUUUGGUUUAGGGCUGAGAGGUCUUUGUACUCCUUUCUUCCUAGAAAACAUUAUAAUCUGGAAAAAAUAAAUAAAUUGUACUUUGCAAAAAGUGAAUAUGAC